UUGAAAUCUGAUAAAAAAAACGACAAAACUGUUGAAUUGAACACUACCAACUGUUAUUCAGUUCUUAAAGAAACUCCAACAUAGGUAUGAAGGACCCUCACUUCAGGUUGCCAUGUUAUCUUGUAGGGUUUCACAUCUCUGAGAAAUACAAAGGAAGCCGCCAUUGCUAGAUUUGAUGAAUGAAGGAGAAUAUGAAGAAAUGAGGUAAUUGCUUGAUGAUGUAGAAAAUCGACUGAAUAGCGAUAUUUAUAGAGAACUUAGAUGUCUAGGGUUGGUCAAGUCAAUUUGAGAAAAUUCUUUGAGAGCAA